CACUGUCCGUGGCCCAGGCGUCAGGUUGCCAGGAGACACCUCCCUCCUGGGAUUUACCUCCCAGGCGGCUGUGUUUCCCGACCCCUCACUUCUGAGGGCCUGAGCAGGCUGAGAGCUGCUCAGAUCCUCUGCGUCAGGGUCUCAGCGAGCAGUGGCCGGGUGCCGGCCGCACCCAGGAACAUUGGCAACGCCGUGCCACUGCCACUGCCGCUGCCCAGAGACUGCGGCUGGGUGCCAGCCUGCGCCCCAAAACGUUCACGCGAUGGUGUAGCAGCAGCGUUUCGAGGAUUGUGGACAAUCACCACACACUUCUGGUACCGGGCUUCCCCCUUAACGACCUUGUUCCAGCACCAGCGAAUGUGGCUGUUCUCCGGGGUCUGCUGGGACCUCUGGGGUCGGCUGGGGUGGCCACACAGACUCUACCUCGUGUCCUCGCAGCAGGGGAACCGCUUUUCUCCGUGUGGUUCCAGACACCCCUCCUCCACACCCCCAGUCUUCAUUCACUCUGCUCUCGGGGAUUCGCCCUUCCGACCAGAGCACCGCCAGCUUUGUCUGCUUAGUUACUGGACUGUCCCUUGGUGAGAAUACGCAGGAAGAGAGGAGCGACUGAGUUCUAGACCAUGCAACCACAGGUGAGUAGGACUUACUCUUCCUUCUCAUG
rnacentral:lncRNA from 1 species